GGACAAGCAGGAAGUGGCCCCCUUUCCCCUCUGCUCUUCCUCCAGUUUCACCAUGUGAUCCACCGGCAAGGAGGACACCAAUGGAAGGCGUCCGAUAAGAUAAGUCUUAUAAAAUAUAUAGAUUUAUGAUGAUUGAGACUGAGCUAACAGAUGAGAAUCCUAGUCAUUGGCCAAGCAGCGUUUGUACCUAAUACAAGUCUCUGUAUUAUUUUGUUCAUCCACGUGGCGGGCAAAACUCAGGCGGCUGGCAGAGACCACCCUCGUGGUGGUAGGGCUUGGGCGGCUUUUGGCAGAAAGAUUUAUCGUAACAUACAUGUUGUAGAUGGAAUUACUGUUCCCCCUGGUUCCACAGCCCUUUAGCCCCAAAUAGACACACAGAGACUUAUAUUAAUUAUAAACUGUUUGGCCAAUGGCUCAGGCUUCUUAUUGGCUAACUCUCUCUCUCUCUUGUUUUUUUCCAUUUUUAAAAAUUAGAAACAAGAUUGUUUCACAUGUCAAUCCCAGUUCCCUCUCCCUCCCCUCCUCCCCUGCCCCCCACUAACUCCCUAUCCCAUACCCUUUCUGCUCCCCAGGGAGGGUGAGGCUUUCCAUGGGGAUCUUCAGAAUCUGUCAUAUCCUUUGGAACAAGGCCUAGGCCCUCCCCCGUGUGUCUAUGCUGAGGGAGUAUCUCUCUAUGGGGAAUGGGCUCCCAAUGUACAUUUCUAUACUAGAGAUAAAUACUAGAGAUCUACUAGCCAGAGGCCUCAUAGAUUGCCAAGGUCUCCUCACUGACACCCAUGUUUCUGGGGUCUGGAUCAGUCCUAUGCUGGUUUCCCAGCUAUCAGUCUGGGGUCCAUGAGCUCUCCCUUGUUCAGGUCAGCUGUGUCUGUGGGUUUCGCCAGCCUGGUCUUGACCCUUUUGCUCAUCACUCCUCCCUCUCUGCAACUGGAUUCUAGUUCAGUUCAGUGUUUAGCUGUGGGUGUCUGCUUCUACUUCCAUCAAGGCUAGCUCUCUCUUAUUAACCCAUAACUAUUAAUCUAUUUAUUUCUACAUGGCCUUAUCUUACUGGAGAAUGCCUGGUGUCCUAUCUUUCCAGUAGCUACAUGGCGUCUCCCUGGCAGCUUCUCUCUGUGUCCUCUCCCCAGAAUUCUCCUUGUCUGGUAGCCCCACUUAUACUUAUUGCCUGGCUACUGGCCAAUCAGUGUUUUAUUCACCAGCCAAUAAGAGAAAUUUAUAUACAGAAGGACACUCCCCAUCAAGAUGUGGCAGUACAUGCCUUAAGUUCCAGCAUUUGGGAGUCAUUUCUAUUACUUUGAGACAAGUCUGGUCUACAUUGCAAGUUCCAGGUCAAUCAGGGCUAGACAGUGAGACCCUAUAUCUCAGAGCGGUGGGGGGAGGCCUUUUAUUGACCCCAAUACUGCAAUGUCAAAAGAGGCACACAGUAGGAUAUCCCCCCAGCUAACACAUUAACAAGCCUGAAUGACCUGUGUAUAUAGCCAGAGAAGGGGUGUUCAGACUAAUCACAGCUCACCUCACAUCCUAAUGAAACUUUGUGUUUCAGUCAUAGUGCACCUCAUCCAAAUGAGGGUUUGUGUUUUCACCAAUCAUAUCCUUGCCUUUCAGGACUAAUCACAGCCGUCCCUCUGCCACACCUUCAGAGGAAGUGCUUUCCUCUGGCUCAGCAGACAUGGUUACAGAGCCAUGUAGAGUUCACCAAGGCUUGUGAGAGCAAUGAACUCCAUGUAUGCUAGACUGGCUCCCAAUACAGUGUGUAGACCUUCAAUCCCUGAUCCUCUUGCUUCCAUCUCUUGGGUCUUGGUAUUAUAUACACACACCGUCAUGCCCAGUUAUUUAGUGCUUUGUGCAUACUAGCUACAUUCCCAGUCCCUUAUUCUUAGAUAUUGUUGUUGGCUUGCUUCUUGUCUUAGUCUGCCUGGCUGUAAGAGCAAAAUAUCAAGGCUGGGCAGCUUAAAGGACAGAGACACAUCUUGUUACUGCUCUGUUGGGGGGGGGGCAAGGUCAAGGGGCUAUGGGACAGAGGAGAGGCACCAGCCUCUCCUGGGGCACUGGGGAAGACUAAACACUGUCAAACAUUGGUCAACGCUACUAAGUAUUGUUAACCACUAUUAAAACUGUUAGUCAUGUGCAGAUCUUUCUCUGUUUGUUAUGGUUAUUUAAAUGCAGUUGAUAGAGCCCUCGCUUGGGCAUGGUGGGCUUGAUUGGACCUUUACUAGAAACCUGACUGGGCCUUGAGUUGAUGGCGCACACCUUUAAUCCCAGCACUCGGGAGGCAGAGGCAGGUGGAUCUUUGUGAGUUCAAGGCCAGCUUGGUCUACAAAGCUACACAGAGAAACCCUGUCUUGAAAAAACAAAACAAAAGGCAACUCUGGGGAAAGAGGGUUUAUUUGGGUUACAAUUCAG
ensembl:lncRNA